CAACCACACCUGCAGAAGCUCGGAAACAGUUUGUUCCCAGUGAUCCCAGGAAGAGUUGGAUCCUGGUGCACUCCUUCCUCCCAGUGGAGCCCUGCAGCAGCCUGGACGACGCCCCCAUCACAGACUCUCUCCGCUGGGGACAGGAGUGAAAG